GACGAACGCUGGCGGCGUGCCUAAUACAUGCAAGUCGAGCGCUCAAGCUUGGUACUUGUACCAACUGGAUGAGCAGCGAACGGGUGAGUAACGCGUGGGUAAUCUGCCUUUGAGCGGGGGACAACAUCUGGAAACGAAUGCUAAUACCGCAUAAAAUCUUUAAACGCAAGUUUUAAGUGUGAAAGAUGCUAUUGCUUCACUCAAAGAUGAUCCCGCGUUUUAUUAGUUAGUUGGUGAGGUAAAGGCUCACCAAGGCGAAGAUUCAUAGCCGACCUGAGAGGGGGAUCGGCAACAUGGGGACUGAGACACGGACCAAACUCCUACGGGGGGCAGCAGAAGGGAAUAUUCGGAAAUGGGCGAAAGUAUGACGGAGCAACGCCGCGUGAGUGAAGAAGGUGUUGGGAUCGUAAAACUCUGUUGUUAGGGAAGAAAAAAGGUGGAAGGAAAAAGGCAAGAAAUGACGGUAACUAAUCAAAAAGGGACGGCUAAAUACGUG
rnacentral:rRNA from 1 species